ACUAUGGCUCAGUGCGGCUCCGGCUCUUCAGAGGAGCGCAUCGUACAGUUUGAACUUUAGCAGAGACCAUCACAGCGCUGGACCAGCAGGAGGAAAGCAGCUUCUUUUAUCUCUCAUUGGAAGUAAUCCCACUGAUCGAUCUGCUGGAUUUAAUAGAACAUCGAUCGAUUCACGCAUCGAUUCCUCGGACGCAAAUAUGAAGGAUUAAAUGUUACAGCGCUGUCACACGUGGAGGAGUUAUUAUUGUUUUUAUUUCUAAGUCAAAGUUGACGAUGGCAGCAGCUGAUGGAUUCAACACUCCAGCUCGGGGUCUUUCGGUUGGAUUUAAGGAAAUACUGUCCCUCACUCGGGAUGAGUGUCCAUUACUCAGCUGCUGGACAAGCCGUUUGGCGGACAGACGAGUCUCUUGGGAUACUUUACGCGUGUUCAAGUGUGGCCAGUGUCACUGAUUGCCGGUGCAAUGGUACAGUUUUGGAGAUCAAUAUUUGUUUUUCUGGAUUUUGACACAACGAAAUGAAUAUCCUGGAAUAUAUAGUUUUAGAGCGAUGCUCUGAAGAAGUCCUGCAAUUUGGAUAAAGACAUCUCCUCAUCCACAAGUGAAGGAUUCAUAAUUCUGGGAAUGAGAUGUCAAACCUUGAAUUGCCUCCCAUGGUUUUUUUGAUGAUCUCAGGUGUGCGCCGAGAAGACGCUGACUAAUAGAAACAUGAUCUCAAAGGAUUCAUCAGGAUCCAACUAAAUCCUGGAUUGGACCUUGGACCAGUAUCCCCUGCAGCAGAUGUUCUCUCCUGGCAUGGUUACUAACAGCAAGAGCUCCAUAUGACUGACAAUCUCUCUGAAGAUCCAGUGCAGGCCGUUUGGACUUGGAGGAGCUGUGCCAUAAAAGCAGCAGGACAUGGGAGUGUUUUCUGCGGCUGAGACAUUAUGGUUGAUGAGUCAAAGCUGUCGGUUGGAAAAUGUGCUGCGUGGAUGUCCACUUUAAUGUGUGAACCACAGUGGAUCUAUGAAUUGUUUGACUUUCUCUUUACCUGGAUUAAGAUGUCCCUGUGUGUGUAUCUGCUCUGGUUACAGAAUCAACAAGUGCUGGACUUUCAAGUGGAAAAUAAUUAGAUGUUGCUUUUCCUUUUCGGUUGUGUUUUUGUAGCCCUUGCAUUACUGCAGCCACAUACAAAUAUUAUUUCUUCAGAGGGAGUGUAUAAUUAAUUAAUACAAAUGUGAUCUAGUUUCCUCAGAGGGAUUAGUCAUUCAUUGGAAAUGAACCUCUCUUUUGACAUCUUGUAAUUGAGAUCACAAAGGAGCCAUUGUAAUCAAGGUACAAACCAAAACCUCUCCUAUUGACACUACGUAUCAUUGUGACAUCUGUCAGCUUGUGUUAAUAUUGCUUAAUAACCCUGUCAGUUGUUUUAUUUUCAUGAUUGAUUGCUCAUAACGUUUGUUGUGUCUGUGAAAGCCUGUUAGGGAAAAUAAAAAAGUUUAUACAGA